UACGAAGGGAGCUAGCGUUGUUCGGAAUCACUGGGCGUAAAGCGCAUGUAGGCGGCUGUGUCAGUCAGGGGUGAAAUCCCGGAGCUCAACUUCGGAACUGCCUUUGAUACAGCACGUCUUGAGUCCGGAAGAGGUGGGUGGAAUUCCUAGUGUAGAGGUGAAAUUCGUAGAUAUUAGGAAGAACACCAGUGGCGAAGGCGGCUCACUGGCCCGGUACUGACGCUGAGGCGCGAAAGCGUGGGGAGCAAACAGG
rnacentral:rRNA from 1 species